rnacentral:lncRNA from 1 species
CUGAAUAAAUUUCUUUGAUCAUAGAAUGGUUUGAUUACGGUUUUUGAAGUAUUUUAAAUAAAUAUUAUUGUUUAAAAAUAUUUUUGAGAAUAUUUAUUUUAAAUAUUUUGUAAAAUAAUAAAUAUUAUUUAAAUUUGUGAUUAUUUUGAUAUAAAAUAUAUAAACUUAAUUUAUAAUAAAAAUCUUAAAAAUAAUUUAUUAAGUUAUUAAUAUUAUGAUAUAAGUAAUACUUGGUGUAAUAGCCCAUUUUUGCCCGGCCCAUUCAAAAUAAGACCAACCCAAAAUCAUAACAUUGCCCAAAUACCCUUGGCCCAAUACACUAGGCCCUAAACCUAAGCCUAUUACACCCGAGGCCAAUUGUGUAAACCCUAGCCUAACUAGCCGAUAGCCUCAGCGCCACUAUCGCCCCACGCCACAGCAGCACCCGCGUAUUGCGCACGUCGCCUUUGCACGUCGCGCAUGUUGCCCCGCACGACACACUCCUUCCACGAUCUCCAUACCUGCGAAAACACAAAUACAAAUGGGAAUACAGACAGAAUGAAAGGGGAGGAAAAAAAGAGGGGAUACAAGGAGGGAUUGGAUUUUUGUAACAAGGGUUAGAAAAUUCUGUAUUAAAAAACAUCAAAGACAAUACAAAAGAGAAAGAAACAGAAAAGCAAAAAAAAUAUUUUUUUGAAGGUAUCUCAUUUUGUUUUUGUUUUUUUUUUUAGAAUCUGUGGGAUUGUUGUUCUUUUUCUUUCUUUUUCUUUUUUUUUUUCUGUUAUAAAACAAUAAAAAGGGUAAGGUGAAGGAGACUUACCAUUGCGAAGCACUGACGCCCUCCUUUCCUCUGUCCGAGACGGAGUUGAAUGGGCGGAGGUCUCGAAGAUGAAGCGACCGAGGCUGGGGACGGCGUUCUCCCUUCUGCAGAUUUGAACAAAAAUGCCUUUUGAUUUAGGUUUUAAUUUGGUUUUAAAAUGUUUGCAAAAAAAAGGGUAUUGUCUGGCCCAGUGAUCUGCGCUCUUUUGCCCUUAAUGGGCCAUUUGCACAAUUAGUCCCCUGUUCUUUGAGGGGUGCUUAAAUCAGUUUUUUUUAAUUUUGGCCACACAUUUUAAUAUUGUUUCAAUUUAAUCCAUGUUGUUGCGCAGCGUUUGGGCGAUUUGGAUAAAUUACCCUUUCGAUCCUUCCCCUAUUGUGCGCAUUUUAAUUUGCUCCUUUUCUCGUUUUCUAUUUUUGAAUUCAACCUUUAAAUUCUGUUUAUUUCCAAAUUAAUCCUUCAAUUGUCAUUUAAAGUUUUUUUUUUUAUUAAUACUGUUAGAUUGUUAUUAUUACUGUCUUAUUGUUAGUAUUAUUUAUUAUUAUAUUAGAUAUUAAUAUUAUUAUACCUAUAUAUAUUUAUACGCAUAUGUAUGUUAAUAUAUAUAUGUACAUGUUUUAAAUGGUUUUAAAAUAUAUAAACGUGUCUUGUAUAUUUUAUUAUUACUAUAUUUUUCUUAGUUUUAUAUGCAUUCGUACAUAUACAUAUGUUUUAUGAAUUUUAUAUCAUUUUUCAUCUUUUCCUUUUUUAAUUCUAUAUAUAUAUAUAUAUAUAUAUAUAUCUUUUAUAAUGUACAUAUUUAUACACUAUUCAAAGUUAUAAUAAAAGUAUUUUUCGCAUUUUAUAUAUAUAUAUUUUCAUAUUUUCAUAAUUUGCUAAUAUAUUAUGUCUAUACAUUUUUAUGUUUAUUAUUUUUAAAAUGCAUGUAUAUUUUAUUAUUGAUUCAUUUUCGUGAUUUUUGUAUACGUAUAUAUGCACGAACAUUUUAUCAUGUUUUUAAAGAAAAUAUAUAUAUUGGUUACAUCAAAGUAUUAAAAUCAUUUUUUUUUUAAAAUUUAAAUAUUUGGCAAUCAUGAUUCUCGAGAAAGAUCGUGUCCUAACUUACUGGAUCGUGAUCAUUUUUCGAUGAAUUUAGAAACCUAAGUAUUUAUUUUACAAUAAAUUCGCAAUUUUCAAAUAAAAGCUUAUUCUCGGGAAUCAAAAAUGUCGGGUCCUAACUUACUGGUCGUGACAUUUCGUCAUCUCGAAAUAAGAAUUUCUAAAACGAAAGGUGCUAUUCGGUAUUUGAAAUUCUGAGAAAUUGUGCCCUAAUUUACUGGGUUUCGAUUUUUCUUUAUUUGAUCUAAAUAAUCGAAUACCCUUUUAGAUUUAAUUGUGUGAGUUUUAAAAUCAAAAGACAAACUUAAUUUUAAAGAUUUAAAGAUAUUGUGCCCUAACUAACUGGGUGUGAUAUUUUAUUUCUUUGAAAUAGGAAUGUUUAUCUUUUUAAUUCAUCCUCGAGUUAAAAUUUUUUAUUUAAACUCUUUUCAAAUUUUCGACAUCAAGACAUAAAAUAAUCAAAUUUGGUACCGAUUUUUGGGUGUUACGAGGGUGCUAACCCUUCCUCGUGCGUAACUGACUCCCGAACCUAUUUUCUCAAAUUUUGCAGACCAGAAUUGUUUUUAUGGUGAGCCGAUCACACCUUAAUAAAUGAUCGGUGGCGACUCCAAUUUUUUGUUUUUAAAGUCGAUAACUUAUUUUUGUUUUCAAAAAAAUGGUUUCGACAGCUUGGCGACUCCACUGGGGACGUUAGAGAGUCGAGCCAUAAAUUGAUUAGUUCUUGUCUUUUUGUCGAAAAGGUUUUAAAUUUGUUUUAAAUCACAAUUUCCUCUGCUGCAUUCAUUGGUUUUUAUCAUGAUAUGUUUGUUUAAUUGGUCUAGGUUUGUUAGGGUGUUUGCAUUUUACAUUGCAUGGAUGAUUUUACCCAUUUAAGUGGGAGUGAGAAACUAGUCCUUUGUGAGGUUUUCACCUCCGUGCAGGAUAGUGGAUCGCUUUCAGAAUACAUCUGUACCUAUGUCUUCGUGAGAUUUUCAUCUCCGUGCAGCCAUAGGGAAAUGUAUUCCCCUGAACCGAACUUGGUCCAUAUGAGCCUAUAAUGGGUGAGGAUCGAGGAAUCUGCUGGUUCAGGUACCCUUGCUCUAAAAGCCAAACCUCAUAUAGUGAACCUUAGGAACUCACCUUAGGUAAAAUUACUCUAAACCUUAGUAGAUACCUGACUAGGAGUUAUUAUUAUUAUUAUUAUUUAUUGUAUUGGAUUUAAUGUUUAUACCUGAUACUAACUUGUUGUGUUUUUCUUUGAUUGCAUGACAUUAUGACUGCAUAGCAUUUCAUCCUAAAAGGUGUUGAAUCACGUUCAGUUGCUAAAUAAAGAGCUUGUCAUAAGAAAAUGGGUUUCUUGAUAAAGUGGAAGAUAAUACGGCUGCCUAAAUAUAUUCCGAGAAACACAAUAAGGGCGAUGAAAGAGUUUGUAACUUUACUUGGUGGCCCGAGGAUUCAAGAUGAUUAUUUAAGAGCUUUCAAUAUUCCAACUUCCUUAAAAAAGCUAAUGAGCAUUGCGAGGAUUGGUAGACAAUAGAUUGCGACUAGGAUCAAGGAAAAGGAGAUAGAGGAGACACCAUUUUGAAGAAUUCGAAAGGUUUAUCUUAACAUUCGGAUGAAGAAGGAGAAGAUGUCAUCGCCUGGAUUAUGAGGGCAAAGACAUAUAUAUAUCCACUUUAUGUAAAGAAAUUUGUCUUCUAGUAAAGUUUUCUAAAUGGAAUUGAAUCAGAAUCAACGUCUCUUUUAUGCAUUCAUUUCAUGCAUUUGCAUUGCAUGACAUCAUAUGCAUUAAAAUCCAUUAAAAAGCCCUAAUUGGUUAAAAUCAUUCCUCAGUUAACCUGGAAACCAACCAGCCAACCCAGCACCGUUACGGUACAAGAGCGAAAUUAAAAAAUAUGGACCAAAGGUUGGAAAAGCUCGAGCAGUUUCAAAAAGAAACGUAGGAUCAUCUUCAACAGCAAAUGAAGGGACAACUUGAGAAGAUUCAACAAAGUUUGAUGGAUAAAAUGGAGGAAUCACAAGGAAGCAUGAUGACAAAGUUAACGCGAUUGUUGACUAAAGGAAAAGAUAAGGGAAAGAGCCCUGUAACAAAUAUUGAAGAAGAAGGUGAGGAUGGACUCCAGUAUCCUCCAGGCUUCACUCCUCUACAUGUGCAGCACCAAGCGGAAGUGUACCCCUGUAAAUCUUCUGUUACGAUUAGGCCCCAACAAUUUCAGGCCGAUGCUUCGAGGUCAAUGAAUUUCUAGGUCGGAUCAGGCUUUAGUCUUGAGAAUAAUCCUACUAAUCCUAUUAUUCCUGAUUUCAAUGAAGCAGUUGAAAAAGAGAGAACAAAAGAGGAAUUACCAAAGCAAUUGGAGGAAAGAUGGAAGUGGAUUGAGGAGAAAUUCAAAGCAAUGGAAACUACUGAAAAAUGCCAUGGGAUUGACGCUAAGGAUUUAAGUUUAGUACCGGAUUUAGUGCUACCUCAUAAGUUCAAAAUGCCAGAAUUCGAGAAGUAUAAUGGGACAAGUUGCCUUGAGGCCCACAUUACCAUGUUUUGUAGACGAAUGGCUGGGUAUGUCAAUAAUGAGCAGUUAUUGAUACACUGUUUUCAGGAUAGCCUCACGGGGGCAACGUCUAAAUGGUAUAAUCAAUUGAGCCGUGCUAAGAUUAGUUCUUGGAGGGAUUUGGCACAGGCUUUUAUGAAGCAGUACAGUCAUAUGGUAGGAAUGGUUCCUGACAGGAUUACUUUGCAAAACAUGGAGAAGAAGUCGAAUGAAGGUUUCAGGCAGUACGCUCAGAGAUGGAGGGAGGUUGCAGUUUAGGUCCAACCACCGCUCCUUGAAAGAGAAAUGACGAUGCUCUUUAUAAAUACGUUGAAGGCCCCAUUCAUCACACAUAUGUUGGGAAGUGCCAAAAAAGCUUUUCUGACAUAGUUAUGAGUGGUGAGAUGAUUGAAAGUGCUAUUAGGAGCGGAAAGAUUGAUGCUGGAGGAAAUAACAGAAAGCAAGCCCCAAAGGAAAAAGAAAAUGAGGUGAACAACGUGAACACGUACAGCAAAUCGAUUACGGUGAAUCAGCCAGGAAAGGUGGUUACUAAUCAGCAGGGUUCAUCAAGACAAGAAUCAGGUGUGAAGCCAGGUACUGAGAAGCUCCAGUUCACACCAAUUCCGAUGUCUUAUAAGGAGUUGUAUCAAAGCUUGUUCGAUGCGCAUGUUGUUGCUCCUCAUUACUUAAAACCCCCACAGCCUCCGUACCCCAAAUGGUACGACGCAAGUGCACAAUGCGAUUAUCAUGCAGGAAUCACGGGACAUUCUAUAGAAAAUUGCAUUGCCUUUAAAAAAGUGGUUGAAAGGCUUAUCAGUAUGGGCGUUGUCAAAUUUGACGAUUCAUCCAGUGCAGAAAAUCUGCUACCUAAUCACUUUUGAUAAUGGGGUGAAUGUGAUGCAUGAAGAAGUGGUAGGAAACGUUCACAUCAAUGCCAUACAUGGAGACACAACUAAAGAAGAGAUCUUGUUAGAUAUUCGCCUUUGUAAAUUUGGGAGUGUUUUAAUUAAUUGGACUAUAGAAGAAAUCUCUGUGGUAUUUAGAACUUACUUAGAGUAAUGUUCAAAACACACUUGUUGCUUUUAGCCUAGAGGCAAUGAGAAUUCUAUUGUGAAAUAGGCUCAUGUUUGAACGUCAUUAUUCUAUGAAUACAUCUUUGCAUUCAUUUUUUUUGAGCUAAUAUUCUUUCAUUCUUUUUGAAUAAUUCUAGAUUCUUUCAUUCUUCUGGAUUUUCUUCCAAAUCAUUCAUUCAUUUAAUUCAUAAUCAUACUGUACAGAUAGCUAUUCAUAAAUUUAUACAUUCUUUUGUAUAUUCUUUGGUAUUUAUUAUGGGCCCCCAGAUAUCAAUGACAUGAAUGACACUGCUACAGAUUUAGAAUCUCCUUUUGAGUAAGACAUGUGUUUAGAGGGAUCUCAUCACUUUGAAGAUGACAUAGAUUGUAGCUUAUCUCCAGACUUGUUGAGGAUGGUAGAACAAGAAGAGAACGAAUUUUACCUCUUGAAGAGACAAUAGAGAUUGUGAUUUUAAGAGAAUAUGCAUAACCGGAUAUAUGAAGCAAUACCUUGUUAAGUUACUUCAAGAGUUCAAAGAUGUCUUCGUAUGAUUAUACCAGGAUAUGUUCAGGUUAAACACUGAUAUUGUAAUUUGAGUAAUUGCACAACGUUAAAAAUUUACAGUAUGUUCAAGAUUCAUAUCAUGAACGAUGCAGUUAGAAUUCUUUGUUGGGGCAAUGCCUUCUUCUCUGGCUUAUCCCGUUGAAGUCAAGUUGUCAUUUUUCUGUAUUCUUGUUGGACUUCAUCCUAAUUGAAGUGGAAGAUCUUACGAGGAAGACCUUAUCUGGAAUAAUAUUGAUUCUGAUCGAAAAGGAUGACCUGGACUUGCCUAAUCUUAUGAGUGCAGAUUCAAUUCAAAAAAAAAAAAAAACACACACACAAAAACAAAAAGAAACAAAAAAACUUCCACUGGGGCAAUGCCUUUCUUUUAGCUUAUUACGAUUUUUUUCCAUUGAAGGUGAAAUUCUUUUUCUCCGGGUAUUAGCUGAGCUGAAGUAGGAUGAAGAUUUAAUCUCGAUACGAUCAGUUGAACUUAAUUGAAGGAAAAAAGGCUAAAAGUUAUUCGUCACGGUCAGAUGUACCAAAAACGGAUAAUGCGAGCUUAUAACAAAAAGAUUCGUCCUAGAGUAUUCCACGAAGGAGACCUGGUAUUAAAAAAGAUCAUUCCUCUACAAAAGGAUUUAGAGAAAAAUGAGUGUCAAAUUGAGAAUGUCCUUAUAUUGUAAAGAAGACCUUUUUUGGAAGAGCUCUGAUUUUGAGUGAGACGGAUAAUAAAAACUUGUCUAAUCAUGUAAACUCGGAAUCAGUUAAGAAAUGCUUCGCUUAAAAAAGGAGAGGACCAAGGUAAAAACCCGCAAAUGACACUUUGAGUCACAAAAAAAAUGAAAAAAAAGAUGUGAAAAAAAUAAAAACGGAAAAAUGAAAAGUGAAAAUGAAAAAGUAAAAUGGAGAGGCUAGGGUGAAAAACCCGUAAAGGGCGCCUUAGACCAAAAGGGAUUUGAGUUGAAAACCCGAAAAGGGCGACUCGAAUUUUGAUCAAAAUGGGGCAUGCGGUGAUCUUGCUAUGCUUGAACCAGCAGGAAAGGGUACGUGAUAUCUUGGAGCAUUGACAGAGUAUUGUAGAUCUCCUAAGCACAUGUCAAACUCAGAAUGGUCUUCAGAAAGUUUGUACAGAGAAGUUCAAGCUACGAUAUCUGGGGCACCUAGUCUUUAUACUGUUUAUAUUUGCUUAUUCUUGGAAUACUUCAUUCUUUUUCAAGAUACAAGUCAAUUUCUCUUUUAUUCUCAAUAUUCUUGAUAAUUUAUUCAUUGCAAGCUGUGCUCUCAAAUCAAUUCUAUUUUACCUGUCAUUUUGUUCUUUUUUGCAAACGUGUUGCAUUAGAAUAAUGAUCAAUGGACUAAUAAAACUUUCACAAGGGAAGUUUUGCAUAUUACUCUAGAAGUUUCUAAAUAAUACAGUAACCUGAAACAGGACUAUUGUUUAGAAAGCACCAAGUUUAAAAGGUUGAAAUAUCUGGGAAGGAAAGGUCUAAAUUGAGACUAUCCCUUCAGAUUUUGUUGUCAUGACAUUGAUUGAACAAAGUGACAAGAUGUCGUGUUGGUGACAAAGCGUCAAUGAACAAGUAAGCAAUAAUCACCAAGCAAUAAAAAGGGGUUUAUUUGGAUAGGAGAAUCCUUCAUUCAUGCAUAGGCAUUUGGCAUGACACCCUGAGAUUGGUAUGAAAGACCAAAGUGCUUCAUAUUUUGCAUCCUUGAAUUGCGAUAGAUGAGGAUUGAGAAAAGACCAAAUUUUUCUACCCUUGGGUUACAGCGGGAGAAAGAUAGUACAAAUUUUACGUCCCAAUGGAUGAAUCUUUGAGGUUUACAGUGGGGGGUAAUUUGAUCAAGCGUUUCUUUGGAGAUGUGAUCCGAACAAAAGACGUUGUAGCACGUCAGUGAUACGACUUUAAUAAACUUCGAGUAAGGACAACCUAAGCGGGAUAAUUUUCGAAAAAUAAAAUCUUGCAUUCAUACAAACACCAUUCACACAUGUCUAGUUAGGAGCAUUUGAUUCAUUUUGAUCAUGCCAUCCUAAUCAUUAGGCAUAAUUAGGUUCAUUAUACAGGUCAUGUUCCUCGGAGAACAGAUCGGUGAAAUCACAAAGCUUUGCCUCCCUGGGUUACAGCGGAGCAGGUUGAAAAUAACAGAUCUUGCCUUCCUGCAUCGACAGCGAAGAAGAUCGAAGAUAGUAAUUCUAUCUCCCUGGUUGGCAGUGGAAUAGAUUGAAGAUUACAGAUCUUAUCUCCCUAGGCAUUAGUGGAGUAGAUCGAAGAUGACAGAUUUUACCUCCCUGUGAUUAUAGUGGAGUACAUUGAAGCCAGUAAUUCUACUUCUCUGGGCAGCAGUGGAAUAGAUUAAAGAUUUCAGAUCUUGUCUCCCUAAGUAGUAGUGGGGCAGAUCAAAGAUGGUGAAUUUUACCUCCCUGUGGUUAUAGUGGAGUACAUUGAAGCCAGUAAUUCUACUUCCCUGGGCAGCAGCGAAAUAGAUUGAAGAUUUCAGAUCUUAUCUCCCUAGGCAUUAGUGGAGCAGAUCGAAGAUGGCAGAUUUUACCUCCCUGUGGUUACAGUGGAGUACAUUGAAGCCGUAAUUCUAUCUCCCUAGUUGGCAGUGGAAUAGAUUGAAGAUUACAGAUCUUAUCUCCCUAGGCAUUAGUGGAGUAGAUCGAAGAUGACAGAUUUUACCUCCCUGAGGUUACAGUGGAGUACAUUGAAGCCAGUAUUUCUUACUUCCCUGGUAGUGUAGUGGAAUAGAUUGAAGUCAUGACGGCGAAUCUUGUUUCCCCGACAUUGCAGUUAAAUAGAUUGAAAACCCAAAUCCUAUUUCAUUGUCGUUGCAGUAGAGUGGAUUGAAGCACUAGUUCCUAUACCUCUGAAGAUGCAGUAGGAAGGAAUGAGGCUAUUUAAAGAAGAAGAGAAGCACCAAGGUCCGGUAUGACCGGGCAAAAUUGGGUUUUUUAGUCUUUGCUCUGUUCCCAUUACAUGACAACGAGCAAAGAGGGGCAGCUGUAAUAGCCCAUUUUUGCCCGGCCCAUUCAAAAUAAGACCAACCCAAAAUCAUAACAUUGCCCAAAUACCCUUGGCCCAAUACACUAGGCCCUAAACCUAAGCCUAUUACACCCGAGGCCAAUUGUGUAAACCUUAGCCUAACUAGCCGAUAGCCUCAGCGCCACUAUCGCCCCAUGCCACAGCAGCACCCGCGUAUUGCGCACGUCGCCUUUGCACGUCGCGCAUGUUGCCCCGCACGACACACUCCUUCCACGAUCUCCAUACCUGCGAAAACACAAAUACAAAUGGGAAUACAGACAGAAUGAAAGGGGAGAAAAAAAAGAGGGGAUACAAGGAGGGAUUGGAUUUUUGUAACAAGGGUUAGAAAAAUUCUGUAUUAAAAAACAUCAAAGACAAUACAAAAGAGAAAGAAACAGAAAAGCAAAAAAAAUAUUUUUUUGAAGGUAUCUCAUUUUGUUUUUGUUUUUUUUUUUAGAAUAUGUGGGAUUGUUGUUCUUUUUCUUUCUUUUUCUUUUUUUUUUCUGUUAUAAAACAAUAAAAAGGGUAAGGUGAAGGAGACUUACCAUUGCGAAGCACUGACGCCCUCCUUUCCUCUGUCCGAGAUGGAGUUGAAUGGGCGGAGGUCUCGAAGAUGAAGCGACCGAGGCUGGGGACGGCGUUCUCCCUUCUGCAGAUUUGAACAAAAAUGCCUUUUGAUUUAGG